rnacentral:rRNA from 1 species
GACGAACGCUGGCGGCGUGCUUAACACAUGCAAGUCGAACGCUGAAGCUUGGUGCCUGCACUGGGUGGCUGAGUGGCGAACGGGUGAGUAAUACGUGAGUAACCUGCCCUUGACUCUGGGAUAAGCCUGGGAAACUGGGUCUAAUACUGGAUACGACAUGUCACCGCAUGGUGGUGUGUGGAAAGGGUUUUACUGGUUUUGGAUGGGCUCACGGCCUAUCAGCUUGUUGGUGGGGUAAUGGCUCACCAAGGCGACGACGGGUAGCCGGCCUGAGAGGGUGACCGGCCACACUGGGACUGAGACACGGCCCAGACUCCUACGGGAGGCAGCAGUGGGGAAUAUUGCACAAUGGGCGGAAGCCUGAUGCAGCGACGCCGCGUGAGGGAUGACGGCCUUCGGGUUGUAAACCUCUUUCAGCACGGAAGAAGCGAAAGUGACGGUACGUGCAGAAGAAGCGCCGGCUAACUACGUG